rnacentral:lncRNA from 1 species
CCAUACACGUUUGUUUAUACUUUAUGCCCCGUAGGCUUUAGUUUUUCUAAACUUUGACUCUGACUUGCUAUACUUGAAGAUUUGGGAGCAUUCUUUCCUCUUUGUAAUAGAUAUUUUAUUGACAUAGCUUGGGUUGUGAGGUUUUUCUUAGCAAGUUCAUUUUCGAGAGUUUUCUUUUUCAAAUUUUUUUAAGGUGUUGAAACCAUCAUCAAUUUAGAGAACUAGGGACAAACUUUUACAAGAGAAGUAUGUAACAAUAAACACAUGCAAAAACAAGAUUUAUAUAAUAAAACUACUUGAUAGUACUUUCUUAGACAGGCUUUUGAUCAUCUGCGAGUUAACUUUGCUAUAGGUUGUUAUGACAUGUAUAACUCCAGCAAAUUGUCAAGAUGGCUAAUCUUGAUUGUAAACUCCAUGGCCCCUCUCUUUGUUUUCCACAUAGCAUUUGUAGCAUCAUCGAGAUUUGUGCUCAAGGGCACCAAGCUUGCAUGGAUCAAUCUAUAUGCUUGUGACUGGCUUAGAUUCUCCUCAUAAGCUAACAAAUCAUCAUCGCAUGGUCUUUUUUUUUUUCGGUUGGUGCUUCCAU